ensembl:scaRNA
CAGUCAGAUAUCCAGUGAACCCCUGCUACAGCCUCAGCCGAGCUGGAGAGAGCGGCCAGGCGUCCUGCCUGGGACAGCUGUUUGAGAAGCAUCUUCCGGGCUGCCCUAGCUUCACAGUU